UCUCUGGAACUUGUUCCGGUGGGACGCCAACGAUGUCAUGCUUCCAAGAAAAGCUUGUACUCCCAUUAGCACAUUAAUAACCUGUACCUGAAACCGACACAGGUAGGUUGGUAGAGUAUACCAAGGGGCGCGAGAGAACUCUCUCUAAGGAACUCGGCAAACUGGCCCCGUAACUUCGGAAGAAGGGGCGCCCUCUGCAAGGAGGGCCGCAGUUAACAGAUUCAAGCGACUGUUUACCAAAAACACAGGUCUCCGCAAAGUCGUAAGACGAUAUAUGGGGGCUGACGCCUGCCCAGUGCCGGAAGGUGAAGGAAGUAGGUUAUUUCCUUGGAAAGAAGCUUACGACCGAAGCCCCGGUGAACGGCGGCUGUAACAAUGACAGUCUUAAGGUAGCGAAAUUCAUUGUCAAGUAAGUUUUGACCUGCACGAAAGGCGUAACGAUUUGAAUGCUGUCUCGGAGAGAGGCUCGGUGAAAUAGACUUAUCCGUGAAGAUGCGGAUUACUAAUAUUUGGACAGAAAGACCCUAUGAAGCUUGACUGUAUCCUGGAAUUGGGUUCGGCUUUUCUUGCGCAGUCUAGGUGGGAGGCGUUGAAGAUUUCCUUCCGGGGAAGUUGGAGCCAUCAGUGAGAGACCACUCUGGAGAGGCUAGAAUCCUAAUGGUGAUCCUUGAAUCAGGACACUUGAAAGUUUCAGGUGGGCAGUUUUUCUGGGGCGGAAACCUCCUAAAAGGUAACGGAGGUGCGCAAUGGUUCCCUCAGUCUGGACGGAAAUCAGACAUUGAGUGCAAAGGCAGAAGGGAGCUUGACUGUAAGACCUACAAGUCAAACAGGGACGAAAGUCGGCCUUAGUGAUCCGACGGUGCCGCGUGGAAGGGCCGUCGCUCAACGGAUAAAAGUUACUCUAAGGAUAACAGGCUAAUCUUCUCCAAGAGUUCACAUCGACGAGAAGGUUUGGCACCUCGAUGUCGGCUCAUCACAUCCUGGGGCUGUAGUAGGUCCCAAGGGUUGGGCUGUUCGCCCAUUAAAGUGGUACGUGAGCUGGGUUCAGAACGUCGCAAGACAGUUCGGUCCAUAUCCAAUAUUAGCGCUAGAACAUUGAGGGGAUCCGUCCGUAGUACGAGAGGAUUUGUGUACGGUUGUGCCAAUGGUAUACCAGUUAUCUUUCCAAGGGUAAACGCUGGGUAGCUAUGCACAGUUUCGAUAAGCGCUGACAGCAUCUAAGUGCGAAGCGUACCUCAAGAUGAAUGUUCUCCAUUAAGCCGCAGCAAGAUAAGCUGUAGAUAGGUAUCAGGUGUAAGGCCAGUAAUGGUUUGAGCCGAGAUAUACUAAAGGCAGAUU
rnacentral:rRNA from 1 species